rnacentral:rRNA from 1 species
CCUUUACUGACGCUAAAGCUCGAAGGUGCGGGUAUCGAACAGGAUUAGAUACCCUGGUAGUCCGCACGGUAAACGAUGGAUGCCCGCUGUUCGCGAUAGACUGUGAGCGGCCAAGAGAAAUCGUUAAAGCAUCCCACCUGGGGAGUACGCCGGCAACGGUGAAACUCAAAGGAAUUGACGGGGGCCCGCACAAGCGGAGGAACAUGUGGUUUAAUUCGAUGAUACGCGAGGAACCUUACCCGGGCUUGAACUGCAGGUGAACGAUCCAGAGAUGGUGAGGUCCUUCGGGACACCUGUGGAGGUGCUGCAUGGUUGUCGUCAGCUCGUGCCGUGAGGUGUCGGCUUAAGUGCCAUAACGAGCGCAACCCUUUUCGUCAGUUGCCAUCAGGUGAUGCUGGGCACUCUGGCGAUACUGCCACCGUAAGGUGUGAGGAAGGUGGGGAUGACGUCAAAUCAGCACGGCCCUUACGUCCGGGGCUACACACGUGUUACAAUGGGUGGUACAGAGAGUCGGUGCAUGGCAAUAUGCAUCCAAUCCUAAAAGCCAUCCUCAGUUCGGAUUGGGGUCUGCAACCCGACCCCAUGAAGCUGGAUUCGCUGU